GAAAAGCUGUAGAAUACAGCUAAGUUUGGUUAAUAUACUAAUUAGAUUUUGUGAAUGAAGACAUCACUUCACCUUUGACUCAGCAACUCUCCUCCGAAAACUCCCCUGGAUAAAUUUCCACUUGUGUGCACAGUGGGGGCUUCUGAGAACAUGGACUGUAGUGUCAUUUUACAGUAAGUUGAGAUCAUGUCACUGCACUCCAGCCUGGGUGACAGAGGAAGACUGUCUCAAAAAAAAUUUUUUUUAAUUAAAAAAAAUAGAUAAAUCUUGAAAAUCAUGUUAUACAAAACAAAUUUAGCUUCAGAAGGGAGGCUUCUCAGCUCCUCGUAGUGUCAUUCGACUCUGUGCUGAGGCAGAGGCACAGACACCACAGAUGCAGAAACAUCCAUCUGACCUUCCCCUCCAACCCUAUCCCCUCCCACCGAGAGCCAGCUUUUAAAUCACAUGUGAUAACUAUUUAAAUGACAGGCACAGCCCACAUUUCUGCCAGUGAUGUAAUGCUGACUCUCUUACAGUAUUUAUCUUAAAACAACCCAACCACAUAUGGCUCCAUGCCGCAAACUCAAGUUCUCUGUGAGAACAUUGUGAACUAACCUAAUAAAUUUAAGCCUUUUCUGGGAAAACUUGGAAUCCAAUGCAGCCAAAAUGUGGAAUUUACAUCUCAAAGCAAGAAAGCAGCUGGAUUUUUUUUUUUAAGGAGGCUAAGAGCAGAGUGGGGAAGCCUCAGAAGUGACACAAGCCUAGUGUUGGCUCUCUGAUGUCCCUGGCACUUGGCCUCAGGAAAGGGCCCUGUGUGCCUGUCAGUGGCAGUGGGAGAAGCAGAUCAGAGUGAGGGAGGGCACAGAGGCUCAAGCUUUUAUGCCAGCUGAGUAGCAAAACUGAACAACUCUUCACCAGCACUCAGAGGGCAUAGGUGUUGGCAAUGGCAGGUGAGGGGCUUGCCUUCGGAGUUGGGGUAUCUGUCUCUUAAGCAGGCAGCAGGCCACUGGGAAGAAAAAAACAGAGGCUCUUGGGCAGCCAGUCAAGGUCUGUUUUUCUGUACAUGAUAUGCCCAGGGCAAGGAGAGGGGGUGGCUGCAAGGUGCACACGC
rnacentral:lncRNA from 10 species